rnacentral:rRNA from 1 species
GACGAACGCUGGCGGCGUGCCUAAUACAUGCAAGUAGAACGAGUUGAGAACGGGUGAGUAACGCGUGGUAACCUUCCCCAUAGCGGGGGUUAACUAUUGGAAACGAUAGCUAAUACCGCAUACUUUGAGAUGGACCGGCGUUGUAUUGGCUAGUUGGUGAGGUAAUGGCUCACCUAGGCGACGAUCCCUAGCUGGUCUGAGAGGAUGACCAGCCACACUGGAACUGAGACACGGCCCAGACUCCUACGGGAGGCAGCAGUGGGGAAUAUUGGACAAUGGGCGAAAGCCUGACGGAGCCAUGCCGCGUGUAUGAAGAAGGCCUUCGGGUUGUAAAGUACUUUCAGCGGGGAGGCGUUACCCGCAGAAGAAGCACCGGCUAACUCCGUGCCAGCAGCCGCGGUAAUUC